rnacentral:rRNA from 1 species
AGCAGUCGCCGCGGUAAUAUGAAGGGGGCUAGCGUUGCUCGGACUUACUGGGCGUAAAGGGCGCGUAGGCGGACAGUUUAGUUGGGGGUGAAAGCCCGGGGCUCAACCUCGGAACUGCCUUCAAUACUGGCUGUCUUGAGUACGGGAGAGGUGAGUGGAACUCCGAGUGUAGAGGUGAAAUUCGUAGAUAUUCGGAAGAACACCAGUGGCGAAGGCGACACACUGGCUCAUUACUGACGCUGAGGCGCGAAAGCGUGGGGAGCAAACAGGAUUAGAUACCCGCGUAGUCCCUGUCUCUUAUAC